UACGUAGGGGGCUAGCGUUGUCCGGAAUCAUUGGGCGUAAAGCGCGCGUAGGCGGCCCGGUAAGUCCGUUGUGAAAGUCAAAGGCUCAACCUUUGAACGCCGAUGGAUACUGCCGGGCUAGAGUCCGGAAGAGGCGAGUGGAAUUCCUGGUGUAGCGGUGGAAUGCGCAGAUAUCAGGAGGAACACCAAUAGCGAAGGCAGCUCGCUGGGACGGUACUGACGCUGAGGCGCGAAAGCGUGGGGAGCGAACAGG
rnacentral:rRNA from 1 species